rnacentral:rRNA from 1 species
CUGGGCUACACACGUGCUACAAUGGCCGGUACAGACGGACGCAAAGCCGCGAGGUGGAGCAAACUACCUAAAAGCCGUCUCAGUUCGGAUUGCAGGCUGCAAUUCGCCUGCAUGAAGUCGGAAUCGCUAGUAAUCGCAGGUCAGCAUACUGCGGUGAAUUACGUUCCCGGGCCUU